rnacentral:rRNA from 1 species
UGCAGUCGAACGAUGAAGCCGGAGCUUGCUCUGGUGGAUUAGUGGCGAACGGGUGAGUAACACGUGAGUAACCUGCCCCUGACUCUGGGAUAAGCGCUGGAAACGGCGUCUAAUACCGGAUAUGCGCUGUAACCGCAUGGUUUGCAGCGGGAAAGAUUUAUCGGUUGGGGAUGGACUCGCGGCCUAUCAGCUUGUUGGUGAGGUAAUGGCUCACCAAGGCGUCGACGGGUAGCCGGCCUGAGAGGGUGACCGGCCACACUGGGACUGAGACACGGCCCAGACUCCUACGGGAGGCAGCAGUGGGGAAUAUUGCACAAUGGGCGCAAGCCUGAUGCAGCAACGCCGCGUGAGGGAUGACGGCCUUCGGGUUGUAAACCUCUUUUAGCAGGGAAGAAGCCUUCGGGUGACGGUACCUGCAGAAAAAGCGCCGGCUAACUACGUGCCAGCAGCCGCGGUAAUACGUAGGGCGCAAGCGUUAUCCGGAAUUAUUGGGCGUAAAGAGCUCGUAGGCGGUUUGUCACGUCUGCUGUGAAAACUGGAGGCUCAACCUCCAGCCUGCAGUGGGUACGGGCAGACUAGAGUGCGGUAGGGGAGAUUGGAAUUCCUGGUGUAGCGGUGGAAUGCGCAGAUAUCAGGAGGAACACCGAUGGCGAAGGCAGAUCUCUGGGCCGUUACUGACGCUGAGGAGCGAAAGGGUGGGGAGCAAACAGGCUUAGAUACCCUGGUAGU